rnacentral:lncRNA from 1 species
CACAGUGCCUUAAGAAGUCUUGAAAGAGCCUUUGUUAUAGUGGAUAUUUUCCCUUACUUUAAAGUGUGUGAUUUAAAUUAUGUGCUUAAUUAUUUGUGUAAUGUUUGUGGUAGUUUAAAACAGGUCUGAUAUUUCUGAAAGCCCUUUUGUGGAGAAAUUGGGCUGACCUUAGUGAUUCAUUUGUAGCUAAUAGAACACUGGAAGCAACACUGCUUGACUUAGGAGCCUGGGUCAUAAAAAUCCACACUCAGAUUUAAGAAGCUGGAGUACAUUAAGGCCAUCAGGGUGUGAAGUAGCCCAAGUGAAAUGGAGGGGCCUUGUGUAGGCGCUUUUGUCAGCAGCCUCAACCCAAGCUCAGAUGUGUGACUGAAUUCACAUCCAGAUGGUUCCACCCUAAGUUCUGUAGCCAGAUCCAGCCACUCAUUUUUUCCCAGCUGAUGCAGCACCAGAUUUCAGGGAGCAGACAGGGGCUUCCCAGAUUCACAGAACUCUUUUGAGGACUCAACUUUUCUCUUACUGGCUGAACAUGAGGAAGGACCAAGGGAGAGGCUACAAAUAGUACUUCAAAACAUUCAGUUCCUCAGAGAAGUGGGAAACCAGGGCACUAAAUCAUAUUGCCAAGCCCAAUAUGAUGACCUUGAAUGAUGGUAUAGCCAGAGAUGGAAGCUGCCUAGUUCUCUUAAUUGCCUCUUGAAGAAAAGUCUUCUAUGGAUCAGGAGCAUCUAUUUUGGAUUUACUGAGGUGAAUAAUAAACUCCUAAUAUGUUUGAGUCA